rnacentral:lncRNA from 1 species
AUGGUCUCUUCCCCCAGAUCCCUCUUCUGUUCUCAGGUGGAUGGGGGCUAUAUGAGAACCAAGGGCUUCACAUCACAGGAAGUUCAGAGCUUGGUAGCUGCCAGCUCCAGCAGGGACGACAAGUCAUCUGGAAAAUCUGGGUGGCCUCCAUGUCCUGAAAAACAUCUCUCUGUUCAGAAUUCUCAGCAUCCUGCCUGCCAGUGUUUUAACUUCACUGCACAAAGGACCUGUGUUUGAAUCCUGACUGUUAUUUACUUCCUGUGUGGCUUUGAACACAUUGGUACCUGCCUCAAGGGCCACAGAUUUCUCACAGGUAAAAUAAAGGUGUUUGGCUUGCUAAUGUCUCCAUGUUCCAAAAUGCUCUGUAUUCCCUGAACUUCCCCUGGCUCAGGUAACCUCUGAAACUUAAGUCCCUUACGCCUGCCAUUACAGCUCUGUGCCUUCUUUGGGCGGAGGUUUUAAUUAAGAAAGGGUAGUGGGAAUGGGGGCCACAAAGGAGAAAAAUUCUGAAAUGGCUAAGCCUUGGGACCAGUGAUGUUCUUCUCCGUUUUGCUGAUUUCUAGUCAGAGCUGGCGCCAGCUUCCCUGGCUGUGCCCUGGGCACUGGGGCUCCAGUGGAGGCUGACCUGCCCCCAUCAGCCUGUCCCCGGUGACCCCUGUCCAUGUGCUUUUUUGGCCUCAGUGCUGUUUUCCCUUUUCUAAACAUUAUUUCCUCUCUUGGCUUCCUGGCCAAGGAGAGCUGGGGAUGCCUACUUGGCUCUGCCAGCUUCCUGGGGCAUGUGGCCAAGCAUGGAGAUUCUUAAGGAGGCGCCUGGUGGUCUGCAGAGUGGCUCCUAAAGCCGGACUCCGUAGGUGACCACCGCCUUUGCCUGUCCUGAGGUCAGCCUUGCUCUGCUCAGGGCUCAAUCAGCCCCUUGUUCCUCUGCCUGCCCCCUCCUCAGUUAUCCUAGUAAUGUAUCUCUCAUUUGAUUAAAAUGGCCGUGGCAAGGGCAGGAUUAGAAAGAAGAGUCAAUGGGAUGUAAUGGAUGUAGAGAUAGAGAACUGAGUUUGAAUCUUGCCUGUGACUCAAUAAGGAUGGAGUUUUGAGCAUCUAAGAGCCCAAAGGGGGUAUCCCUUCCAACCUCACUAUUUAAAAGAAUAUGCAAUUGAGGCAUAAGAGAAACAAGAUGAUUUAUUGAGGGUCA